GCCGGAGUGUCGAAAUUGGUAACCGAACACGACUCAAAAUCGUGCGCCGCAAGGCUUGAGAGUUCGAGUCUCUCCUCCGGCACCA
rnacentral:tRNA from 6 species